UAAUUUUUUUAAUAUUUUGUAGAAACAGAGUCUCACUGUCUGCUGCCCAGACUGCCAAAACAGAGUGCGGAGGUGUCAAACUCCUAGCCUUGAGCAAUCUACCCACCUCAGCCUGCACCUCCCAGAGAGUUGGGAUUACAGGCAUGAGCCACCAUACCCAGCACCUUUUUUUUUUUUUUAAAUCUCCAAAUUGGCGGGAUGAAUGUGUCACAGAAAUAAAAGCCAAGAUAACACUGUAGGCUUUUGGCGAAAUCAAGGUAUUAAAGAAACAAUCAGAUCUAGAACAGAAAAAUCAUGUCCAAAGUCUUGGGCAUGCUUGUCACAGCCAACAUCCUGACAUGAAAAGUUUAUGUUUCUGUCCCUGGGCCUCCUUCUACCUCCCACUAAAUCAUAGACAUUGCCAGAUUGCAGACCCUGUCUUCAUACAAGUGUAAAAUAUAAAAGUGUGUGAAAGUAGUAUCUCAACCGGGUGCAGUGGCUCACACCUGUAAUCCCAGCACUUUUGGGAGGCCAAGGUGAGUGAAUUGCUUGAGCCUAGGACUUCAGGACCAGCCUGGGCAACAUAAUGAGACACCUGUCUCUACAAAAAAUACAGAAAUUAGCCAGGCAUGGUGGCAGCCACCUGUAAUACCAGGUACUCGGGUGGCUGAAGCACGAGAAUCGCUUGAACCCAGGAGGCAGAGGUUGCAGUGAGCUGAGAUUGCGCCACUGCCCUCCAGCCUAGGCGACAGAGCAAGAUUCAGUCUCGAGAAAAAAAAAAAAAGACGAUAGAGUCUCUCCUCCUCUUUUUUAAUGGGUUUAUCUAGGCACGUUUGGAAAACUCAGCAAGUUAUACUAGAUUUUUACUUCAUCUUCAGUAUAUUCUGUUCAUCAUGUUAGAAGUCUUACUUAAAGACAGACUUUACCUUAGCUAUAGUUUUAUUUGCUCUUAUUUGGCUUCCUAAAACUAGCAAACCUCAGCUCUAAAUCUUUUCUUUUUUAAUCUAACCUUGUAAUCUGUGUGCUUAUUUGGUUUUCAAGUACCCAAAAUGGAAUGAUGAUUGAUAUUAUUUAAUACUGGAGUGCCAAAAAUGUGCUAAGCAUUAUCUAGAGCAAAGAUUUAGCCCAUCCUCCCGAAGAGCCCAUGCUCAACAAAAAAUACAGACCUCAGCCGGGCGCAGUGGCUCAACGCCUGUAAUCCCAGCACUAUCGGAGGCCAGGGUGGGCGGGUCACCUGCAUUCAGGAGUUCAAGACCAGCCUGACCAACAUGGAGAAACCCCAUCUCUACUAAAAGUACAAAAUUAGCCAGGCGUGGUGGCGCAUACCUGUAAUCCCAGCUGCUCAGGAGGCUGAGGCAGGAGAAUCGCUUGAACCUGGGAGGCGGAUGUUGUGGAUACAAUGUCUCUUUGCUAUAUGACCUUGAAAAUCUUCCGGCAUCCAAGGAUUCCAUUGUGCAUCAAGCUGGAAUGUUGAAGCGAAAUUGUUUUGCCUCUGUCUUUGAAAAGUACUUCCAAUUCCAAGAAGAGGGCAAGGAAGGAGAGAACAGAGCAGUUAUCCAUUAUAGGGAUGAUGAGACCAUGUAUGUUGAGUCUAAAAAGGACAGAGUCACGGUAGUCUUCAGCACAGUGUUUAAGGAUGACGACGAUGUGGUCAUUGGAAAGGUGUUCAUGCAGGAGUUCAAAGAAGGACGCAGAGCCAGCCACACAGCCCCACAGGUCCUCUUUAGCCACAGGGAACCUCCUCUGGAGCUGAAAGACACGGACGCCGCUGUGGGUGACAACAUUGGCUACAUUACCUUUGUGCUGUUCCCUCGUCACACCAAUGCCAGUGCUCGAGACAACACCAUCAACCUGAUCCACACGUUCCGGGACUACCUGCACUACCACAUCAAGUGCUCUAAGGCCUAUAUUCACACACGUAUGCGGGCGAAAACGUCUGACUUCCUCAAGGUGCUGAACCGCGCACGCCCAGAUGCCGAGAAAAAAGAAAUGAAAACAAUCACGGGGAAGACGUUUUCAUCCCGCUAAUCUUGGGAAUAAGAGGAGGAAGCGGCUGGCAACUGAAGGCUGGAACACUUGCUACUGGAUAAUCGUAGCUUUUAAUGUUGCACCUCUUCAGGUUCUUAAGGGAUUCUCCGUUUUGGUUCCAUUUUGUACACGUUUGGAAAAUAAUCUGCAGAAACGAGCUGUGCUUGCAAAGACUUCAUAGUUCCCAAGAAUU
rnacentral:sRNA from 1 species